CGUUACUGACAGGGAGAGACACUCUGCGCGUUACUGACAGGGAGAGACACUCUGCGUGUUACCGAUAGGGAGAGACACUCUGCGCGUUACUGACAGGGAGAGACACUCUGCGUGUUACUGACAGGGAGAGACACUCUGUGUGUUACUGACAGGGAGAGACACUCUGCGCGUUACUGACAGGGAGAGACACUCUGCGUGUUACUGACAGGGAGAGACACUCUGCGCGUUACUGACAGGGAGAGACACUCUGCGCGUUACUGACAGGGAGAGACACUCUGCGCGUUACUGACAGGGAGAGACACUCUGCGUGUUACCGACAGGGAGAGACACUCUGCGUGUUACCGACAGGGAGAGACACUCUGCGUGUUACUGACAGGGAGAGACACUCUGUGUGUUACUGACAGGGAGAGACACUCUGCAUAAGGGGGCGGGUCCAAUGAUUGCCACGCCCUCUCUCUUAUUUUCAGCCAAUCAGAAGCCAGGCAUGCUGCUAUUUCUGAAAGCCUUUCCUUAUAUGUUUGGUUUCCAUAGAAACGGGUGGGAGCCAAUCAUGUUGUCCCAGAGUUGUGCGGACACGCCUUGUUGUUGUUUCACAUGCCAUACUUGCAAAUGCGUCAUUGCAAC